ACGUAGGAGGCAAGCGUUAUCCGGGGUUACUGGGCGUAAAGGGCGUGUAGGCGGCACGGUAAGUCAACCGUGAAAGCUCCCGGCUUAACUGGGAGAGGUCGUUCAAAACUGGGGGGCUUGAGGUUGGAAGAGGAGAGCGGAAUUCCCGGUGUAGUGGUGGAAUGCGUAGAUAUCGGGAGGAACACCAGUGGCGAAAGCGGCUCUCUGGUUCAAUACUGACACUGAGAUGCGAAAGCGUGGGGAGCGAACGG
rnacentral:rRNA from 1 species